AGACCCGAAACCCGGUGAUCUAGCCAUGGGCAGGUUGAAGGUUGGGUAACACUAACUGGAGGACCGAACCGACUAAUGUUGAAAAAUUAGCGGAUGACCUGUGGCUGGGGGUGAAAGGCCAAUCAAACCGGGAGAUAGCUGGUUCUCCCCGAAAGCUAUUUAGGUAGCGCCUCGUGAAUUCAUCUCCGGGGGUAGAGCACUGUUUCGGCUAGGGGGCCAUCCCGGCUUACCAACCCGAUGCAAACUGCGAAUACCGGAGAAUGUUAUCACGGGAGACACACGGCGGGUGCUAACGUCCGUCGUGAAGAGGGAAACAACCCAGACCGCCAGCUAAGGUCCCAAAGUCAUGGUUAAGUGGGAAACGAUGUGGGAAGGCCCAGACAGCCAGGAUGUUGGCUUAGAAGCAGCCAUCAUUUAAAGAAAGCGUAAUAGCUCACUGGUCGAGUCGGCCUGCGCGGAAGAUGUAACGGGGCUAAACCAUGCACCGAAGCUGCGGCAGCGACACUCAGGUGUUGUUGGGUAGGGGAGCGUUCUGUAAGCCUGCGAAGGUGGCCUGUGAGGGUUGCUGGAGGUAUCAGAAGUGCGAAUGCUGACAUAAGUAACGAUAAAGCGGGUGAAAAGCCCGCUCGCCGGAAGACCAAGGGUUCCUGUCCAACGUUAAUCGGGGCAGGGUGAGUCGACCCCUAAGGCGAGGCCGAAAGGCGUAGUCGAUGGGAAACGGGUUAAUAUUCCCGUACUUGGUGUUACUGCGAAGGGGGGACGGAGAAGGCUAUGUUGGCCGGGCGACGGUUGUCCCGGUUUAAGCGUGUAGGUGUGUGUUCCAGGUAAAUCCGGUUCACUUUAACACUGAGGCGUGAUGACGAGGCACUACGGUGCUGAAGCAACAAAUGCCCUGCUUCCAGGAAAAGCCUCUAAGCAUCAGGUAACAUCAAAUCGUACCCCAAACCGACACAGGUGGUCAGGUAGAGAAUACCAAGGCGCUUGAGAGAACUCGGGUGAAGGAACUAGGCAAAAUGGUGCCGUAACUUCGGGAGAAGGCACGCUGACAUGUAGGUGAAGUGAUUUACUCAUGGAGCUGAAGUCAGUCGAAGAUACCAGCUGGCUGCAACUGUUUAUUAAAAACACAGCACUGUGCAAACACGAAAGUGGACGUAUACGGUGUGACGCCUGCCCGGUGCCGGAAGGUUAAUUGAUGGGGUCAGCGCAAGCGAAGCUCCUGAUCGAAGCCCCGGUAAACGGCGGCCGUAACUAUAACGGUCCUAAGGUAGCGAAAUUCCUUGUCGGGUAAGUUCCGACCUGCACGAAUGGCGUAAUGAUGGCCAGGCUGUCUCCACCCGAGACUCAGUGAAAUUGAACUCGCUGUGAAGAUGCAGUGUACCCGCGGCAAGACGGAAAGACCCCGUGAACCUUUACUAUAGCUUGACACUGAACAUUGAGCCUUGAUGUGUAG
rnacentral:rRNA from 1 species